GAUGAACGCUGGCGGCGUGCUUAACACAUGCAAGUCGAGCGAUUUACUUCGGUAAAGAGCGGCGGACGGGUGAGUAACGCGUGGGUAACCUGCCCUGUACACACGGAUAACAUACCGAAAGGUAUGCUAAUACGAGAUAAUAUACUUUUAUCGCAUGGUAGAAGUAUCAAAGCUCCGGCGGUACAGGAUGGACCCGCGUCUGAUUAGCUAGUUGGUAAGGUAACGGCUUACCAAGGCGACGAUCAGUAGCCGACCUGAGAGGGUGAUCGGCCACAUUGGAACUGAGACACGGUCCAAACUCCUACGGGAGGCAGCAGUGGGGAAUAUUGCACAAUGGGCGAAAGCCUGAUGCAGCAACGCCGCGUGAGCGAUGAAGGCCUUCGGGUCGUAAAGCUCUGUCCUCAAGGAAGAUAAUGACGGUACUUGAGG
rnacentral:rRNA from 1 species